GACGAACGCUGGCGGCGUGCUUAACACAUGCAAGUCGAACGGAAAGGCCCUGCUUUUGUGGGGUGCUCGAGUGGCGAACGGGUGAGUAACACGUGAGUAACCUGCCCUUGACUUUGGGAUAACUUCAGGAAACUGGGGCUAAUACCGGAUAGGAGCUCCUGCUGCAUGGUGGGGGUUGGAAAGUUUCGGCGGUUGGGGAUGGACUCGCGGCUUAUCAGCUUGUUGGUGGGGUAGUGGCUUACCAAGGCUUUGACGGGUAGCCGGCCUGAGAGGGUGACCGGCCACAUUGGGACUGAGAUACGGCCCAGACUCCUACGGGAGGCAGCAGUGGGGAAUAUUGCACAAUGGGCGGAAGCCUGAUGCAGCAACGCCGCGUGCGGGAUGACGGCCUUCGGGUUGUAAACCGCUUUCGCCUGUGACGAAGCGUGAGUGACGGUAAUGGGUAAAGAAGCACCGGCUAACUACGUGCCAGCAGCCCGCGUGAUACGUAGGUGCGAGCGUUGUCCGGAUUUAUGGGCGUAAAGGGCUCGUAGGUGGUUGAUCGCGUCGGAAGGGUAAUCUUGGGGCUUAACCCUGAGCGUGCUUUCGAUACGGGUUGACUUGAGGAAGGUAGGGGAGAAUGGAAUUCCUGGUGGAGCGGUGGAAUGCGCAGAUAUCAGGAGGAACACCAGUGGCGAAGGCGGUUCUCUGGGCCUUUCCUGACGCUGAGGAGCGAAAGCGUGGGGAGCGAACAGGCUUAGAUACCCUGGUAGUCCACGCUGUAAACGGUGGGUACUAGGUGUGGGGUCCAUUCCACGGGUUCCGUGCCGUAGCUAACGCUUUAAGUACCCCGCCUGGGGAGUACGGCCGCAAGGCUAAAACUCAAAGGAAUUGACGGGGCCCCGCACAAGCGGCGGAGCAUGCGGAUUAAUUCGAUGCAACGCGUAGAACCUUACCUGGGUUUGACAUGGAUCGGGAGUGCUCAGAGAUGGGUGUGCCUCUUUUGGGGUCGGUUCACAGGUGGUGCAUGGCUGUCGUCAGCUCGUGUCGUGAGAUGUUGGGUUAAGUCCCGCAACGAGCGCAACCCUUGUUCACUGUUGCCAGCACGUUAUGGUGGGGACUCAGUGGAGACCGCCGGGGUCAACUCGGAGGAAGGUGGGGAUGACGUCAAGUCAUCAUGCCCCUUAUGUCCAGGGCUUCACGCAUGCUACAAUGGCUGGUACAGAGAGUGGCGAGCCUGUGAGGGUGAGCGAAUCUCGGAAAGCCGGUCUCAGUUCGGAUUGGGGUCUGCAACUCGACCUCAUGAAGUCGGAGUCGCUAGUAAUCGCAGAUCAGCAACGCUGCGGUGAAUACGUUCCCGGG
rnacentral:rRNA from 1 species